CCUACGGGUGGCAGCAGUGAGGAAUAUUGGUCAAUGGCCGGAAGGCUGAACCAGCCAUGCCGCGUGAAGGUCAGUGCCCUAUGGGCGUUAAACUUCUUUUGUGCGGGAGCAAUAAUGGUCACGUGUGGCCAGACGAGAGUACCGUACGAAUAAGCAUCGGCUAACGCCGUGCCAGCAGCCGCGGUAAUACGGGGGAUGCAAACGUUUUCCGGGUUUAUUGGGUUUAAAGGGUGCGUAGGCUGUGAGGUAAGUCAGCGGUGAAAUGCCCGCGCUCAACGGGGUGAAGUGCCAUUGAUACUGCCUUGCUGGAAUGCGGAUGCCGUGGGAGGAAUGUGUGGUGUAGCGGUGAAAUGCAUAGAUAUCACACAGAACACCGAUUGCGAAGGCAGCUCACGAAUCCGCGAUUGACGCUGAUGCACGAAAGCGUGGGUAUCAAACAGGAUUAGAUACCCUUGUAGUC
rnacentral:rRNA from 1 species